GGGGAGCCGCAGUGAAAAGGCCCAAGCGACUGUUUAUCAAAAACACAGGUCUCUGCGAAGCCGUAAGGCGAAGUAUAGGGGCUGACACCUGCCCGGUGCUGGAAGGUUAAGGGGAGCGCUUAGCGCAAGCGAAGGUGCGAACCGAAGCCCCAGUAAACGGCGGCCGUAACUAUAACGGUCCUAAGGUAGCGAAAUUCCUUGUCGGGUAAGUUCCGACCCGCACGAAAGGUGUAACGACUUGGGCACUGUCUCAACGAGAGACCCGGUGAAAUCAUAGUACCUGUGAAGAUGCAGGUUACCCGCGACAGGACGGAAAGACCCCGUGGAGCUUUACUGCAGCCUGAUAUUGAAUGUUGGUGCGACAUGUACAGCAUAGGUGGGAGACUGAGAAGCCUGGACGCCAGUCUAGGUGGAGUCGCCGUUGGGAUACCACCCUUGUCGUACUGAGAUUCUAACCCGCACCCCUGAUCGGGGUGGGAGACAGUGUCAGGUGGGCAGUUUGACUGGGGCGGUCGCCUCCCAAAGCGUAACGGAGGCGCCCAAAGGUUCCCUCAGAAUGGUUGGAAAUCAUUCGUAGAGUGUAAAGGCAGAAGGGAGCUUGACUGCGAGACCUACAAGUCGAGCAGGGACGAAAGUCGGGCUUAGUGAUCCGGUGGUUCCGAAUGGAAGGGCCAUCGCUCAACGGAUAAAAGCUACCCCGGGGAUAACAGGCUUAUCUCCCCCAAGAGUCCACAUCGACGGGGAGGUUUGGCACCUCGAUGUCGGCUCAUCGCAUCCUGGGGCUGUAGUCGGUCCCAAGGGUUGGGCUGUUCGCCCAUUAAAGCGGUACGCGAGCUGGGUUCAGAACGUCGUGAGACAGUUCGGUCCCUAUCCGUCGCGGGCGUAGGAAAUUUGAGAGGAGCUGUCCUUAGUACGAGAGGACCGGGAUGGACGCACCGCUGGUGUACCAGUUGUCCCGCCAGGGGCACAGCUGGGUAGCUAUGUGCGGAAGGGAUAAGCGCUGAAAGCAUCUAAGCGUGAAGCCCCCCUCAAGAUGAGAUUUCCCAUCGCGUCAAGCGAGUAAGAUCCCUUGAAGAUGACAAGGU
rnacentral:rRNA from 1 species